rnacentral:rRNA from 1 species
GUCGAACGCUGGCGGCGUGCUUAACACAUGCAAGUCGAACGGAAAGGCCCUGCUUUUGUGGGGUGCUCGAGUGGCGAACGGGUGAGUAACACGUGAGUAACCUGCCCUUGACUUUGGGAUAACUUCAGGAAACUGGGGCUAAUACCGGAUAGGAGCUCCUGCUGCAUGGUGGGGGUUGGAAAGUUUCGGCGGUUGGGGAUGGACUCGCGGCUUAUCAGCUUGUUGGUGGGGUAGUGGCUUACCAAGGCUUUGACGGGUAGCCGGCCUGGGAGGGUGACCGGCCACAUUGGGACUGAGAUACGGCCCAGACUCCUACGGGAGGCAGCAGUGGGGAAUAUUGCACAAUGGGCGGAAGCCUGAUGCAGCAACGCCGCGUGCGGGAUGACGGCCUUCGGGUUGUAAACCGCUUUCGCCUGUGACGAAGCGUGAGUGACGGUAAUGGGUAAAGAAGCACCGGCUAACUACGUG